GACAGAGGUGCCAAGCGUUAGGCGGAAUCACUGGGCUUAAAGCGUGUGUAGGUGGAUUUGUAAGUACCUUGUGAAAUCCCAUGGCUCAACCAUGGAACUGCUCGGUAUACUGCGAAUCUUGAGCCACUUAGGGGCUACCGGAACAAAUGGUGGUAGCGGUGAAAUGCGUAGAUAAUCUGGGAGGAAUACCGAGGCGGCAGGACGGG
rnacentral:rRNA from 1 species